rnacentral:lncRNA from 1 species
ACAUGAUUAGAAUAACUGAAUUUAAGCUGUGCUAUCCUGGAGCUCGUAAUAAGUUUGUGGUUCACGCCUGCAGAUGCUGUGCUGUUCUAGGGUUACAAUCAUGCAAACAUGAACCACACACUAAUUAUGAAUUCCAGAACAACAGGCUAAUGACGAACUCAAACAGACGACAGAACAUAACUGCAGCCUUUCAUCUCUGGUUUUCAGAAGCGUCAGGGAGGGAAUGCAGGCCAGCCAGGCUUUUCUUUUUGCUUACUUACUGGGUUACAAUAGCUACCGCUACCAUCUUCUUGCCUUCCCUUCUUCUCUCGUAAAAGUUUCUGCUUCUGUCCAGCACAUCAUUGUCUAUGCUGGCGGUGGAUGCAUUACCACCAAGAUGUGUCAUCGUGCUGAAAAUCACAGGAAAAAUAGCAGGGAAAUAAGGAGAUUGUAACGAUAAUCUACCACCAAAAAACAUUGCAGGAAAAAUAGCAGGGAAAUAACUUAUUAGCAUCACCGUGUGCUCACUAUUUUUAACUCACCAUCACCCACUCCCCUUGCAUGUAACACACAAGAACAGCGUAUCUUUCCCCACAGAAAGAACAUACCCUCGACUGCUACCAUGACGCGCUCAAUAAUCCCUGUCCAGAAGACUGCUUCAAGGUCCAUGAUGGAAGUCACCGCUCUCGGGACCUCUCCUGAUCUCAAGAAAUGGAAGACUUCGACACUGACUACGACUUAUACAAGGGUAUCACUAGCUUAGCCUGUGAGGCCACAUGGCGUGGCGUACAUAAGUAAGCACCACGACCCCUAAAUGGAAGACUUCGACACUGACUACGACUUAUACAAGGGUAUCACUAGCUUAGCCUGUGAGGCCACAUGGCGUGGCGUACAUAAGUAAGCACCACAACCCCUCGCGCCCUAGGAUGCAUGCCUGUCUAACCCCGGGGCUCCUUACACAACGAGGCACCCAACAAAUUAAGUCUUUAGGGCCACUCGUGCCCUGAGACACUCGACAUUAUAUGCUCCCGGUGCACCAGGGCACCUAGCAGUAUGAACCCCCAUGGCCCCUUACGCCCUAGGGUGGCCAAUGGUAUAAAGCCCCGAGGCCCCUCGUACCCCAGGGCGUAUAAUGAUAUAAACCCUCGAGGCCCCUCGUGCCCUGAGACAUCUAGAAGUAUGGGCUCUCGGGGCAUCUAGAAGUAUGGGCUCCCUCACGAGGGGGCUCGAGGGCUCAUACUGCUAGACGCCCCAUAACAUGAGGGGCCCCAGGGGCUCAUACCGCUAGUUGUCUUGUGUCGUGAGGGAACACAAGGGCUUAUACAACUAGUUGCCCCGAAGCGCGAGGGGCCUCGGAGGCUUAUACAUUAGAUGCCCCAGGUCAUGAGGUGUCGUAAAGGCUCAUAUUGCUAGAUGCCCCGGACACAGGGGGCAUCGAGAGCAUAUAUUGUCG